UUAAGUGAUGAUAGCCUAGGAGAUACACCUGUACCCAUGCCGAACACAGUAGUUAAGCCCUAGCACGCCGGAAGUAGUUGGGGGUUGCCCCCUGUGAGAUAUGGUAGUCGCUUAGC
rnacentral:rRNA from 1 species